GACGAACGCUGGCGGCGUGCUUAACACAUGCAAGUCGAACGGAAAGGCCCUGCUUUUGUGGGGUGCUCGAGUGGCGAACGGGUGAGUAACACGUGAGUAACCUGCCCUUGACUUUGGGAUAACUUCAGGAAACUGGGGCUAAUACCGGAUAGGAGCCCCUGCUGCAUGGUGGGGGUUGGAAAGUUUCGGCGGUUGGGGAUGGACUCGCGGCUUAUCAGCUUGUUGGUGGGGUAGUGGCUUACCAAGGCUUUGACGGGUAGCCGGCCUGAGAGGGUGACCGGCCACAUUGGGACUGAGAUACGGCCCAGACUCCUACGGGAGGCAGCAGUGGGGAAUAUUGCACAAUGGGCGGAAGCCUGAUGCAGCAACGCCGCGUGCGGGAUGACGGCCUUCGGGUUGUAAACCGCUUUCGCCUGUGACGAAGCGUGAGUGACGGUAAUGGGUAAAAAAGCACCGGCUAACUACGUG
rnacentral:rRNA from 1 species